rnacentral:rRNA from 1 species
CCUUGGGGUGAGGGUACCUGCAGAAGAAGCGCCGGCUAACUACGUGCCAGCAGCCGCGGUAAUACGUAGGGCGCAAGCGUUGUCCGGAAUUAUUGGGCGUAAAGAGCUCGUAGGCGGUUUGUCGCGUCUGCUGUGAAAACGCGAGGCUUAACCUCGCGCCUGCAGUGGGUACGGGCAGACUAGAGUGCGGUAGGGGAGACUGGAAUUCCUGGUGUAGCGGUGGAAUGCGCAGAUAUCAGGAGGAACACCGGUGGCGAAGGCGGGUCUCUGGGCCGUUACUGACGCUGAGGAGCGAAAGCAUGGGGAGCGAAC